UACGUAGGCAGCAAGCGUUGUUCGGAGUUACUGGGCGUAAAGGGUGUGUAGGCGGUUUUCUAAGUCUGGUGUGAAAUCUCCCGGCUCAACUGGGAGGGUGCGCCGAAAACUGGAAGGCUAGAGUGCGGGAUGGGAGAGUGGAAUUCCUGGUGUAGCGGUGAAAUGCGUAGAUAUCGGAAGGAACACCAGUGGCGAAGGCGGCUCACUGGACCGGUACUGACGCUGAGGCACGAAAGCCAGGGGAGCGAACGGG
rnacentral:rRNA from 1 species